rnacentral:rRNA from 1 species
UUCCGGUUGAUCCUGCCAGAGGCGACCGCUUUUGGAGUUCGAUUAAGCCAUGCGAGUCGAGAGCCUUAGGGGCUCGGCAUACUGCUCAGUAACACGUGGAUAACCUGCCCUAUUGUCUGGAAUAACCUCGGGAAACUGAGAACAAGGCCGGAUAACCCACAAUGCCUGGAACGGUUUGUGGGUGAAGAUAGGAUGGGUCUGCGGCGUAUCAGGUCGUAGGGGGUGUAAUGGACCUCCUAGCCAUCGACGCGUACGGGUGUUGGGAGACAUAGCCCGGAGAUGGAUUCUGAGACACGAAUCCAGACCCUACGGGGUGCAGCAGGCGCGAAAACUUCACACUGCAGGAAACUGUGAUGAGGGAACUCCAAGUGCAUUCACUAUGUGGAUGCUUUUUUUGACUAUUAAUCGGUCAACGAAUAAGGGCUGGGAAAGACCGGUGCCAGCCGCCGCGGUAAUACCGGCAGCUCAAGUGGUCGUCGCUUUUAUUGGGCCUAAAACGUCCGUAGCCUGUUUGGUAAAUCUGUGGGUAAAUCAACCAGCUUAACUGGUUGAAUUCUGCAGAGACUGCCAGACUAGGGACCGGGAGAGGUGUGGGGUACUCUAGGGGUAGGGGUAAAAUCCUGUCAUCCUUAGAGGACCACCAGUUGCGAAGGCGCCACACUGGAACGGAUCCGACGGUCAGGGACGAAGCCUAGGGGCACGAACCGGAUUAGAUACCCGGGUAGUCCUAGGUGUAAACGCUGUGAACUUGGUGUCGGGGAUCCGCAAUGGGUCCUCGGUGCCGGAGUGAAGAUGUUAAGUUCACUGCCUGGGGAGUACGGUCGCAAGGCUGAAACUUAAAGGAAUUGGCGGGGGAGCACUGCAACGGGAGGAGCGUGCGGUUUAAUUGGACUCAACGCCGGAA